rnacentral:lncRNA from 1 species
GGCCUCUAGGAAGAGCAAGAAACUGGAGGUUUUAUUUUUUUAACUUAAAGCGUAUUUAAUAGCUUUAAAAGCCACUGAGGCACAUUGAAAUAAAGAUAUACAAAAUAUUAAGGACGACCCACAGUACAAACAAAAUAACUACUCUUCUUUAAACAAAGACAUGUGAGAACAUUCAGAUAAAGAAGCUUCACAUGUCAACAGUAAUGGGAAAAGAUGAAUCGCUUGUUCCGGGUCAGAAAAAGGUAUUCACCAGACUACAAGAGGACGUGUUGCUCCCAGCCAGG